AUUGAACGCUGGCGGCAUGCUUUACACAUGCAAGUCGAACGGUAACAGGCCGCAAGGUGCUGACGAGUGGCGAACGGGUGAGUAAUGCAUCGGAACGUGCCCAGUCGUGGGGGAUAACGCAGCGAAAGCUGUGCUAAUACCGCAUACGAUCUAUGGAUGAAAGCGGGGGACCGUAAGGCCUCGCGCGAUUGGAGCGGCCGAUGUCAGAUUAGCUAGUUGGUGGGGUAAAGGCCCACCAAGGCGACGAUCUGUAGCUGGUCUGAGAGGACGACCAGCCACACUGGGACUGAGACACGGCCCAGACUCCUACGGGAGGCAGCAGUGGGGAAUUUUGGACAAUGGGCGCAAGCCUGAUCCAGCAAUGCCGCGUGCAGGAAGAAGGCCUUCGGGUUGUAAACUGCUUUUGUACGGAACGAAACGGUCUGGGUUAAUACCCUGGGCUAAUGACGGUACCGUAAGAAUAAACACCGGCUAACUACGUGCCAGCAGCCGCGGUAACAC
rnacentral:rRNA from 1 species